GAUGAACGCUGGCGGCGUGCAUAACACAUUCAAGUCGAACGGACGAUGAGGAGCUUGCUCCUCAAAGUUAGUGGCGGACGGGUGAGUAACGCGUGAGCAACCUGCCUUGCAAAGCGGGAUAACAUCGGGAAACUGGUGCUAAUACCGCAUGAUAUAUACUCUACGCAUGUAGGGUAUAUCAAAGGAGCAAUCCGAUGCAAGAUGGGCUCGCGUCUGAUUAGAUAGUUGGUGGGUAACGGCCUACCAAGUCGACGAUCAGUAGCCGGACUGAGAGGUUGAACGGCCACAUUGGAACUGAGAAACGGUCCAGACUCCUACGGGAGGCAGCAGUGGGGAAUAUUGGGCAAUGGGCGCAAGCCUGACCCAGCGACGCCGCGUGAAGGAAGAAGGUCUUCGGGAUUGUAAACUUUUGUCAGCAGGGAAGAAGAAAGUGACAGUACCUGCAGAGGAAGCCACGGCUAACUACGUGCCAGCAGCC
rnacentral:rRNA from 1 species